UACGUAGGGGGCAAGCGUUGUCCGGAUUUAUUGGGCGUAAAGAGCGUGUAGGCGGCCAGACAGGUCUGCUGUGAAAACUCGAGGCUCAACCUCGAGAUGUCGGCGGAAACCGUCUGGCUAGAGUCCGGAAGAGGAGAGUGGAAUUCCUGGUGUAGCGGUGAAAUGCGCAGAUAUCAGGAGGAACACCGGUGGCGAAGGCGGGUCUCUGGGCAGUAACUGACGCUGAGGAGCGAAAGCGUGGGGAGCGAACAGG
rnacentral:rRNA from 1 species